rnacentral:rRNA from 1 species
UACGUAGGCAGCGAGCGUUGUUCGGAGUUACUGGGCGUAAAGGGUGCGUAGGCGGGUCUUUAAGUCAGGGGUGAAAUCCUGGAGCUCAACUCCAGAACUGCCUUUGAUACUGAGGAUCUUGAGUACGGGAGAGGUGAGUGGAACUGCGAGUGUAGAGGUGAAAUUCGUAGAUAUUCGCAAGAACACCAGUGGCGAAGGCGGCUCACUGGCCCGUUACUGACGCUGAGGCACGAAAGCGUGGGGAGCAAACAGG